UCGAUAUCGCUGAUUUGCUUCUUUUUUUUUCUUUUUUUUUAAUUGGUAUGUCUCUUAGGUCUGCUAAGUCUGGGCUCUUCUGAUGCACAAGGCUGGACAUGUGGUUUCUGCAGGUUCUUGUUUUAUUCCCCUUUGGGAUACUAAUUAUGCAUUUUGUUUGAUGUUGUUGCAGGACAACAAUUGGCUUUUGCCUUCAUUCCUUGUGCUCGCGGCUGGUGCAGAGGACACCAGUUGGCUCUUGUGUUCAAUCCGUCUGUUCGCUGCUGGUGCAGAGGACAAUAGUUGGCUCUUGCGUUCAAUCCGUGUACUCGCUGCUGGUGCAGGGUAACAAAAAAACUCUUUGAUGCAAUCAUCUCUUUAGUUUGAAUGACGCAACUCUCUUUCAGGUUUAUUCAGAUCGUCGAGAUUACAGUGUGGUAGGUUUAAAGAGAAAGAAUUGUGGGAGUGCUUAUGGUUUCUGAGUUUUACUUUCAGUUUCAGGUUUUGGAUGAUGCUUUUAUCAAUCAGUGAUGGCUUUGACUGAUCUUCCUCAGGCGUUCUCAUGGGUUCGUUGCUCCAAACGUAUCUCUAUUAAUCAUCAGGGCUGUGCCAUCACAAAUCCAAAACAUCUCUGUUUGAUCGUCGAGGCACCGGGAUUACAAUGUGGAAGGUUUGAAGAAAAAACAUUGUGGGAGUGCGUAUGAUUUCUGAUUUUAACUUUCAGACAUCGAGUUAAGGCACUGGGAUUGCUUUGUUGAAUCUUAUCAUCUCGUCUAUCAUUUGUUUAGGUUUCAAGUAAUGUUGCUCAUCUUCCUUGUGACACUGACAUAUGUCUUCCUCUUUCCCCUUUGGU